rnacentral:lncRNA from 1 species
AGCAGAUACGCGGUAUUAUGACCCUGCCACAGGAAAAAUGUGGUCAUAGCUCAUGGUUGACGAAAAGAAUUGAAGAACAAAAGAAAUUAAAAUCUCGAAAGAAACUUGAAUUUUCGAAAAAGAAAUGAAUUUGGCAUGAAUUAUGUUGCAUAAUUAAAAUUGAUUUCGAAUUAAUGAACUCUAUAUGCUUAUUUUCUAUAAAUGAUUAUUUACUUAAAUGCUUGAUGAAAUCUGUUGAAAAGUAAUCAUUGCUUACUGGGCUGUCUAGC